UUCCUCCUGGAUGGUUCUGAUGGCACACGGAAUGGCUUCCCUGCCAUGCUUGAUUUUGUUAAGAGAGUGGUGGAGAAAUUGAAUGUAGGACCUAACAAUGACCGUGUCUCUGUGGUCCAAUACAGCAGAGAUGCAGAGAUCCAUUUCUAUCUGAACACAUACACCACAAGACAGGAUAUUUUGGAUACAGUCAGAGGGCUGAGACAUAGAGGAGGCAGACCCCUCAACACCGGGGCGGCCCUCCAAUACGUCAGGGACAACGCCUUUACAAACUCCUCCGGGAGCAGGCGCCUGCAAGGUGUUCCACAAAUGUUGAUCCUGCUAAAUGGUGGAAGGUCUUUUGACAAUGUAGAUACCCCAGCCUCUGCUCUCAAACAGCAGGGUGUCUAUGUGAUAGGCAUUGGCACAAGGAACUCUGACACUAGGGAGCUGCAGAAGAUAUCAUAUGACCCUAGUUCUGCUCUAUCAGUGUCUGAUUUCACUGACCUCCCCAGUGCCCAGGAACAGCUCUCCUCUGUAAUGAACACAGUGCUAACCAGGGCCACGCCCAUCACACCAACAAAAGCUGGUAAGAAAGUGACAGAUUUUUAUUUUCCAAGGUCAUGGUAGGAUGCAAAUUGAACAGUAUGACAGUGUAUUUAUUGUAGCUGAGGCAAGCCAGCAGCACUCUGAGAAUACAUUUGUUCCAGAUUAUACAGAGUACAUUGUUAAAUUCCAGGUUAGCUUUGGUCAUCUGACUUUCACAUGGAAAACAUUUGACACAUGAACCUGAACAUGUCUGACAUUUUUUAUUCCCUAGUGGAGAGACAGCCAGCAGGAAAAGAUAUUGUGUUCUUGUUGGAUGGAUCUGAUGGUACUAGAACUGGCUUCCCAGCUGUGAAAGACUUUGUCCAAAGAGUUGUAGAGACACUCAGUGUGGAUGACAACAAAGACCGUGUCUCAGUGGUUCAGUACAGCAAAGAGCCAGCUGCCCAAUUCUAUCUGAACACGUACACCACAAAAGGCGACAUCCUUGACACUGUCAGAGGAUUGAGGCACAAAGGUGGAAGACCCCUCAACACUGGAGCAGCUCUCCAGUACUUGAGGGAUAAUGUCUUCACGGCCUCUGCUGGAAGCAGGCUCCAGGAAGGAGUCCCACAGGUCCUAGUUUUGAUAAGUGGUGGAAGGUCUUUUGACAGUGUUGAUGCACCAGCCUCUGCUCUCAAAGAGCUGGGUGUCUUGACCUUUGCAAUUGGAACCAGGAGUGCUGAUAGCAAAGAACUGCAGAAGAUAUCCCACGACCCCAGCUAUGCACUAACUGUGUCUGAAUUCACUGACCUUCCCAAUGUCCAACAACAACUUCAGUCCUCCGUGGAGGCUGUGGUUAUCGAGGUCUCCCCAGAAUCACCACCUGUUCCUGUCGAUACUGCCAAAAAGGAUAUCGUUUUCCUCCUGGAUGGUUCUGAUGGCACACGGAAUGGCUUCCCUGCCAUGCUUGAUUUUGUUAAGAGAGUGGUGGAGAAAUUGAAUGUAGGACCUAACAAUGACCGUGUCUCUGUGGUCCAAUACAGCAGAGAUGCAGAGAUCCAUUUCUAUCUGAACACAUACACCACAAGACAGGAUAUUUUGGAUACAGUCAGAGGGCUGAGACAUAGAGGAGGCAGACCCCUCAACACCGGGGCGGCCCUCCAAUACGUCAGGGACAACGCCUUUACAAACUCCUCCGGGAGCAGGCGCCUGCAAGGUGUUCCACAAAUGUUGAUCCUGCUAAAUGGUGGAAGGUCUUUUGACAAUGUAGAUACCCCAGCCUCUGCUCUCAAACAGCAGGGUGUCUAUGUGAUAGGCAUUGGCACAAGGAACUCUGACACUAGGGAGCUGCAGAAGAUAUCAUAUGACCCUAGUUCUGCUCUAUCAGUGUCUGAUUUCACUGACCUCCCCAGUGCCCAGGAACAGCUCUCCUCUGUAAUGAACACAGUGCUAACCAGGGCCACGCCCAUCACACCAACAAAAGCUGGUAAGAAAGUGACAGAUUUUUAUUUUCCAAGGUCAUGGUAGGAUGCAAAUUGAACAGUAUGACAGUGUAUUUAUUGUAGCUGAGGCAAGCCAGCAGCACUCUGAGAAUACAUUUGUUCCAGAUUAUACAGAGUACAUUGUUAAAUUCCAGGUUAGCUUUGGUCAUCUGACUUUCACAUGGAAAACAUUUGACACAUGAACCUGAACAUGUCUGACAUUUUUUAUUCCCUAGUGGAGAGACAGCCAGCAGGAAAAGAUAUUGUGUUCUUGUUGGAUGGAUCUGAUGGUACUAGAACUGGCUUCCCAGCUGUGAAAGACUUUGUCCAAAGAGUUGUAGAGACACUCAGUGUGGAUGACAACAAAGACCGUGUCUCAGUGGUUCAGUACAGCAAAGAGCCAGCUGCCCAAUUCUAUCUGAACACGUACACCACAAAAGGCGACAUCCUUGACACUGUCAGAGGAUUGAGGCACAAAGGUGGAAGACCCCUCAACACUGGAGCAGCUCUCCAGUACUUGAGGGAUAAUGUCUUCACGGCCUCUGCUGGAAGCAGGCUCCAGGAAGGAGUCCCACAGGUCCUAGUUUUGAUAAGUGGUGGAAGGUCUUUUGACAGUGUUGAUGCACCAGCCUCUGCUCUCAAAGAGCUGGGUGUCUUGACCUUUGCAAUUGGAACCAGGAGUGCUGAUAGCAAAGAACUGCAGAAGAUAUCCCACGACCCCAGCUAUGCACUAACUGUGUCUGAAUUCACUGACCUUCCCAAUGUCCAACAACAACUUCAGUCCUCCGUGGAGGCUGUGGUUAUCGAGGUCUCCCCAGAAUCACCACCUGUUCCUGUCGAUACUGCCAAAAAGGAUAUCGUUUUCCUCCUGGAUGGUUCUGAUGGCACACGGAAUGGCUUCCCUGCCAUGCUUGAUUUUGUUAAGAGAGUGGUGGAGAAAUUGAAUGUAGGACCUAACAAUGACCGUGUCUCUGUGGUCCAAUACAGCAGAGAUGCAGAGAUCCAUUUCUAUCUGAACACAUACACCACAAGACAGGAUAUUUUGGAUACAGUCAGAGGGCUGAGACAUAGAGGAGGCAGACCCCUCAACACCGGGGCGGCCCUCCAAUACGUCAGGGACAACGCCUUUACAAACUCCUCCGGGAGCAGGCGCCUGCAAGGUGUUCCACAAAUGUUGAUCCUGCUAAAUGGUGGAAGGUCUUUUGACAAUGUAGAUACCCCAGCCUCUGCUCUCAAACAGCAGGGUGUCUAUGUGAUAGGCAUUGGCACAAGGAACUCUGACACUAGGGAGCUGCAGAAGAUAUCAUAUGACCCUAGUUCUGCUCUAUCAGUGUCUGAUUUCACUGACCUCCCCAGUGCCCAGGAACAGCUCUCCUCUGUAAUGAACACAGUGCUAACCAGGGCCACGCCCAUCACACCAACAAAAGCUGGUAAGAAAGUGACAGAUUUUUAUUUUCCAAGGUCAUGGUAGGAUGCAAAUUGAACAGUAUGACAGUGUAUUUAUUGUAGCUGAGGCAAGCCAGCAGCACUCUGAGAAUACAUUUGUUCCAGAUUAUACAGAGUACAUUGUUAAAUUCCAGGUUAGCUUUGGUCAUCUGACUUUCACAUGGAAAACAUUUGACACAUGAACCUGAACAUGUCUGACAUUUUUUAUUCCCUAGUGGAGAGACAGCCAGCAGGAAAAGAUAUUGUGUUCUUGUUGGAUGGAUCUGAUGGUACUAGAACUGGCUUCCCAGCUGUGAAAGACUUUGUCCAAAGAGUUGUAGAGACACUCAGUGUGGAUGACAACAAAGACCGUGUCUCAGUGGUUCAGUACAGCAAAGAGCCAGCUGCCCAAUUCUAUCUGAACACGUACACCACAAAAGGCGACAUCCUUGACACUGUCAGAGGAUUGAGGCACAAAGGUGGAAGACCCCUCAACACUGGAGCAGCUCUCCAGUACUUGAGGGAUAAUGUCUUCACGGCCUCUGCUGGAAGCAGGCUCCAGGAAGGAGUCCCACAGGUCCUAGUUUUGAUAAGUGGUGGAAGGUCUUUUGACAGUGUUGAUGCACCAGCCUCUGCUCUCAAAGAGCUGGGUGUCUUGACCUUUGCAAUUGGAACCAGGAGUGCUGAUAGCAAAGAACUGCAGAAGAUAUCCCACGACCCCAGCUAUGCACUAACUGUGUCUGAAUUCACUGACCUUCCCAAUGUCCAACAACAACUUCAGUCCUCCGUGGAGGCUGUGGUUAUCGAGGUCUCCCCAGAAUCACCACCUGUUCCUGUCGAUACUGCCAAAAAGGAUAUCGUUUUCCUCCUGGAUGGUUCUGAUGGCACACGGAAUGGCUUCCCUGCCAUGCUUGAUUUUGUUAAGAGAGUGGUGGAGAAAUUGAAUGUAGGACCUAACAAUGACCGUGUCUCUGUGGUCCAAUACAGCAGAGAUGCAGAGAUCCAUUUCUAUCUGAACACAUACACCACAAGACAGGAUAUUUUGGAUACAGUCAGAGGGCUGAGACAUAGAGGAGGCAGACCCCUCAACACCGGGGCGGCCCUCCAAUACGUCAGGGACAACGCCUUUACAAACUCCUCCGGGAGCAGGCGCCUGCAAGGUGUUCCACAAAUGUUGAUCCUGCUAAAUGGUGGAAGGUCUUUUGACAAUGUAGAUACCCCAGCCUCUGCUCUCAAACAGCAGGGUGUCUAUGUGAUAGGCAUUGGCACAAGGAACUCUGACACUAGGGAGCUGCAGAAGAUAUCAUAUGACCCUAGUUCUGCUCUAUCAGUGUCUGAUUUCACUGACCUCCCCAGUGCCCAGGAACAGCUCUCCUCUGUAAUGAACACAGUGCUAA